rnacentral:rRNA from 1 species
UACGGAGGGGGCUAGCGUUGCUCGGAAUCACUGGGCGUAAAGGGCGCGUAGGCGGACAGCUUAGUCAGAGGUGAAAGCCCAGGGCUCAACCUUGGAAUUGCCUUUGAUACUGGCUGUCUUGAGUUCGGGAGAGGUGAGUGGAAUGCCGAGUGUAGAGGUGAAAUUCGUAGAUAUUCGGCGGAACACCGGUGGCGAAGGCGACUUACUGGACAGAUAUUGACGCUGAGGUGCGAAAGCGUGGGGAGCAAACAGG